CGGCUGCUUCACGUCACGGGUUGCCGCGUAACACCGGCCGAAGAGGGAAGGGAGUGCGAUGCUCCCGCUGCCCCCGCAACUGUGACCGGGGAGCGACCCUGCCAAGGGCCACUGGUUUCGACCGGGAAGGCGGCGGGGAAGCGACGAUCCGGGAGCCAGGAGACCUGCCCGAGACCGUCGCUUGAG
rnacentral:ncRNA from 2 species